GAUGAAGAACGUAGCGAAAUGCGAUAAGUAAUGUGAAUUGCAGAAUUCAGUGAAUCAUCGAAUCUUUGAACGCACAUUGCGCCCUCUGGUAUUCCGGAGGGCAUGCCUGUUCGAGCGUCAUUUCAACCCUCAAGCAUUGCUUGGUGUUGGGGCACCGCCUGUAAAAGGGCGGGCCCUGAAAUCUAGUGGCGAGCUCGCCAGGACCCCGAGCGUAGUAAUUAUAUUUCGUUCUGGAAGGCCCUGGCGGUGCCCUGCCGUUAAACCCCCAACUUCUGAAAAUUUGACCUCGGAUCAGGUAGGAAUACCCGCUGAACUUAAGCAUAUCAUAAGCGGAGGA
rnacentral:misc_RNA from 1 species